GACGAACGCUGGCGGCGUGCCUAAUACAUGCAAGUCGAACGCUGAAGCGAGGAGCUUGCUCUUCGCGGGUGAGGCGAACACGGGUGAGUCACGCGUGGAUAACCUGCCUUAUAGCGGGGGAUAACUAUUAGACACGAUCGCUAAUAGCGCAUGACAUUGUGUUACACAUGGGAGUUAUGUGAGAGGCGCAGUUGCUCCACUACAAGAUGGCCUUUCGUUGUAUUAGCUGGGAGGUGAGGUACUGGCGCACCUAGGCGACGAUACGUAGCCGACCUGAUAGGGUGGUCGGCCGCACUGGGACUGUGACACGCCCCAUACGGCUACGGGAGGCAGCAGUAGGGCUUCGUGGGCCAUCGGGGCAAACCUGACCGCGCAAGGCCGCGUCAGGGAGGAAGGUUGUCGCAUCGUGAAGGUCUGUUGUCGGUUAGGAACGGGUGUGAGAGUGGAAAGUUCACACUGUGACGGUAGCUUAUCAGAAAGGGACGGCUAACUACGUG
rnacentral:rRNA from 1 species